CAGAAUAUGGUGUAAUGUGGUAGCAUGGAGAUUUUUGAAUUCUUAGGGGUAGGUUCAAUCCCUAUAAGUCUAG
rnacentral:tRNA from 1 species